rnacentral:rRNA from 1 species
GAUCCUGGCUCAGGAUGAACGCUAGCGACAGGCUUAACACAUGCAAGUCGAGGGGCAGCAUAAUUUGUAGCAAUACAGAUUGAUGGCGACCGGCGCACGGGUGAGUAACGCGUAUGCAACUUACCUAUCAGAGGGGGAUAGCCCGGCGGAAGUCGGAUUAGUACCCCAUAAAACAGGGGUCCCGCAUGGGAAUAUUUGUUAAAGAUUCAUCGCUGAUAGAUAGGCAUGCGUUCCA